AGGUCCUCCGAGUUUGGUGGUUUCGCCACCUUUAGUCCUAAACUUUUAAAUUGACCAUUUGUUAUCCUUCGAGUUUCGAAAUCGACCAGUCACCGUCCUUCUGUUAAAAUUUUCAGUUUCAACCAUGAAAUGUAAGGGCAUAACAGUCUUUUCAUUUAUUAUCCAGCCAAAACAGUUCAUUUUGCUCAGAAAAUUAAAAUUAGCCCUACCUAAUCCAUUUCAAAGAUGAUUAUGACGAGGACGGCGAGGAUUUCCGGCCGACGCGACCAUUCAUCCUAGACACGAGCACCCACUUCAGUCUCUCGCCGCAGAACGAUUAUCUGUUCUUCAACUGCAGCAACGAGAAGGUGAUAGUGGAGCCGAAGCCGGUGCUCUGCGAGCGUUCCCGGAGUAGUGCGACUCAACGUGCAACAACGCCAGCUUCCUGUGCCGCCACCUACCGGAGUGCCCCUCCGUCCUGCGCGGCAGUAGCUCCUGCUGCUCGUAUUACCGCAAGGCGGCAGAGUCCUCUCUCAAUUCUUGAUCUGGGAAAAUGAAAGAAUUUUCAAUUAUCUCCUGCGAUAAUUGAAAAUGAAUCCCGCCCACAGGAAUUCAUAAUCUCCCACGUUGGAUUUGGAUUGAAAAUAAAAAUCCCACCCACAGGGUCACUUUUCUUGCUCAAACAUUUUCUGUUAGAGUGUGAGAUGUUUCGUGAAUCUAGUGUGGACGUGUGGCGGAGUUGAACUCGGCCAUGGCGGCGGGGUGGAACGCGCAGCUGAUUGUGGAAGCGUGGUCGAAAGGAGGGAUGUCGCCGGAGAAAAUUACAAAGCAGAAAAUUCAUUUUUUUCUUAAAUGAAAGGACUAUUAUGCCC